ACUUGUUUUAAACGUCUAAGGCAGGAACCGGAAUGCAUCCUUAAAACUGUCGCACUCGGGUUUUGUUUAAAGGUUUUUAGGUCGUCUCUGAAGUCUCAUCCUUUGUGGGUCACCCUGCAUAUAAUUCUAGGAUUUAAUGUUUUAGAAGGGGACAGGGGGAAUGGAACAGGAUGGAAGGAUGUUAGAGAUCUGGAGAGAUUUAGUGGAGAAGGUUGGAGUAAAGUAAACAAUGUUUGGACUGUAAGUAACUACCGGACAUACUGCUUUGAGUACGUUUUCCAUAUAUGGAUAGUUAGUAUUCUGUCCCUGUCUGCAUUCAUAAG